ACUGAACUAUCCCUUUAAGGUCUUCUGUCCAGCCAAUAACAGGGAGGGCAUGAUUCGCCAAAUCCCCGCAGCUGUGCCAAUCAAGCCCACCUGGCGCUGCUCCGGCAGCUGAGAGCCAGAACCACGCUCGCCUCCACCAAGGCUUGUGACCAACACUCGCUUGUCCGCGCAGCUGAUUUAGUGAUGUCACCGACUGAAGCCUGUACUGAUGGCUACGGACGCUUAUGGGUGAAGAUGAAUCUCGCAUUGAAGCACAGAGCUUCUGCUGCCUGUCGACACCGCCGACACAUCUCACCCAGCCUCUGAGUCACAGCUACCUGCCUCUGCGUGGGUGACAGAGGAACCAGAAGUAAGGCGAAGGCGGACAAAAAGGAGAGACGCAGCGGAGUAGACGACGGAUUGAAGACUAAAGUAUUGUCUCUACCGGCUCCUUGUUAGGGGCAGGCUCAGGUGGCUCACGGAGGCUGAGAUGGAUGAGGUGUCGGCCCGACGGCGACCCACAGGCAUCCUCAAAGAGCAGCACCAACGGCCAACGUCCCGCCGGCCUGUCAGGUCCGGC